rnacentral:rRNA from 1 species
CAAGGAAUAUUGGGCAAUGGGCGAAAGCCUGACCCAGCGACACCGCGUGGGGGAAGAAGACCUUCGGGUUGUAAACUCCUUUUAUUAGGGAAGAAUAAUGACGGUACCUGAUGAAUAAGCCCCGGCUAACUACGUGCCAGCAGCCGCGGUAAUACGUAGGGGGCGAGCGUUAUCCGGAUUUACUGGGCGUAAAGCGGGCGUAGGCGGCUCGUUAAGUCGGAUGUGAAAUCUCCCGGCUCAACCGGGAGGGUGCAUUCGAAACUGGCAGGCUAGAGUGCAGCAGAGGAAGAUGGAAUUCCCGGUGUAGUGGUGAAAUGCGUAGAUAUCGGGAAGAACACUAGUGGCGAAGGCGGUCUUCUGGGCUGUAACUGACGCUGAGGUCCGAAGGCGUGGGGAGCAAACAGG